rnacentral:lncRNA from 1 species
NNNNNNGCAAGGAAGGACCGGGGCGGGCGGCCCCGGGGGCUGUUUACGGCGGAUCGGACCCCCCCGCUCCGCGCCCGGGACCUCGGGGUGUAAAUAAACGCCGGGAUUUGAGGCCGAGCUCGCCUGGGGGGCGGCGGGGAGGCCCCCGGCUGCUCCUCGGCCCCCCCGGUGUGGGGCAGGGAUGGGGGGGCCACGCGGCUCCCUCCCGCUGCGGAUUUGCAGCCUUUAAUCGGCUCUAAUAGCUCUAAAGCAGGGAAAGGGGUUGAGCCAGGCACCAUCUGCCGGGGCCCCCCCCCCCGGGAGCCGGGCCACUGUGGCUCCGCUAUCCCGGCUCCGUUAUCCCAGCUCUUCUCCCGGCUCCGCUAUCCCACUUCCGUUAUCCCGGCUCCGCUAUCCCAGCUCUUCUCCCGGCUCCGCCAUCCCGGCUCCCCCGGGGGGGACGCGAGGCGGGGAGACCCCCCCCAGCUCGGCGCAGCGGGGAGAACGUGCUGGUGCCAAAGGUUUUAUUAGGCGGAAAACGGGGGCUCGGGACGCGGCCGGGUCGGUGGCUACAACCUGCAACACACAGAGACGGGGGGGUCGGCGGGGGGGGAAUGCCAGGGCCCCCCGGGGGACGCCGGGGCCCGCCCCGCCCGGCCCCACUCACGUCACUUCCCGGAAAGCUCUCUUCUCCACGUAUUUCAGCCGGUAUUUCCGCUUGAACCUGGCGGGGGGAGAGGGAUCAAAAUCCACUUGCGUUUCCCCCCCCCGAGCGCCGCAGCGGGAGUCGCUCCGGGCUGGGGGCUGGAGCCGGGGGGGGGGGUCCGUCUGUGCCCCCCCCGCCGUGGCCCCCACGUACUUGGCCCUCUCGCGCGGCUCGAUGAGGUUCCUCCGCUGCAGGCUCUUGAAGCGGUCGCGCAGGACGCUGCCCUCGGGCUGCGGGGACAGCGGAGCGGGUCAGAGCCCCCGGGGGGGUCCCGGGGAGGGGGGGGUCCCGUCCCUGUCCCUGUCCCUGUCCCCCCCCCGGUGCCCUCAGCUCCCAGGUCCCGCCCGCACGGCGAGGCCCCGGGAGCCCCGGGAAGCCUUCACAUUCCCAGCCCGGCGGGCUGCGAAUCCUCGUAGCGCAAGGAUGGGUCUCAUCACGGGGCACCGGGGGGGGCAGAGACCCCCCCCACCAUGGUGGUGUCCCCCCCCGGGCCCCCCCGCGGCG